UACGAAGGGGCUAGCGUUGCUCGGAAUCACUGGGCGUAAAGGGUGCGUAGGCGGGUCUUUAAGUCAGGGGUGAAAUCCUGGAGCUCAACUCCAGAACUGCCUUUGAUACUGGGAAGCUUGAGUCCGGAAGAGGUGAGUGGAACUCCGAGUGUAGAGGUGAAAUUCGUAGAUAUCAGGAGGAACACCGGUGGCGAAGGCGGGUCUCUGGGCCGAUACUGACGCUGAGGAGCGAAAGCGUGGGGAGCGAACAGG
rnacentral:rRNA from 1 species